rnacentral:rRNA from 1 species
AGAGCGAACGCUGGCGGCAGGCCUAACACAUGCAAGUCGAGCGCCCCGCAAGGGGAGCGGCAGACGGGAGAGUAACACGUGGGAACGUACCCUUCAGUUCGGAACAACCCAGGGAAACUUGGGCUAAUACCGGAUACGUCCGUAAGGAGAAAGAUUUAUCGCUGAAGGAUCGGCCCGCGUCUGAUUAGCUUGUUGGUGAGGUAACGGCUCACCAAGGCUACGAUCAGUAGCUGGUCUGAGAGGAUGAUCAGCCUCACUGGGACUGAGACACGGCCCAGACUCCUACGGGAGGCAGCAGUGGGGAAUAUUGGACAAUGGGCGCAAGCCUGAUCCAGCCAUGCCGCGUGGGUGAUGAAGGCCCUAGGGUUGUAAAGCCCUUUCGGCGGGAAGAUAAUGACGGUACCCGCAGAAGAAGCCCCGGCUAACUUCGUGCCAGCAGCCGC